AGAGUUUGAUCCUGGCUCAGAACGAACGCUGGCGGCAUGCCUAACACAUGCAAGUCGAACGAAGCCUUCGGGCUUAGUGGCGCACGGGUGCGUAACGCGUGGGAACCUGCCUUUAGGUUCGGAAUAACUCAGAGAAAUUUGAGCUAAUACCGGAUAAUGUCUUCGGACCAAAGAUUUAUCGCCUUUAGAUGGGCCCGCGUUAGAUUAGAUAGUUGGUGGGGUAAUGGCCUACCAAGUCGACGAUCUAUAGCUGGUCUGAGAGGAUGAUCAGCCACACUGGGACUGAGACACGGCCCAGACUCCUACGGGAGGCAGCAGUGGGGAAUAUUGGACAAUGGGCGAAAGCCUGAUCCAGCAAUGCCGCGUGAGUGAUGAAGGCCUUAGGGUUGUAAAGCUCUUUUACCCGGGAUGAUAAUGACAGUACCGGGAGAAUAAGCUCCGGCUAACUCCGUGCCAGCAGCCGCGGUAAUACGGAGGGAGCUAGCGUUGUUCGGAAUUACUGGGCGUAAAGCGCGCGUAGGCGGCUAUUUAAGUCAGGGGUGAAAUCCCGGGGCUCAACCCCGGAACUGCCCUUGAAACUGGAUAGCUAGAAUCCUGGAGAGGCGAGUGGAAUUCCGAGUGUAGAGGUGAAAUUCGUAGAUAUUCGGAAGAACACCA
rnacentral:rRNA from 1 species